AAUAUUGGACAAUGGGCGCAAGCCUGAUCCAGCCAUGCCGCGUGUGUGAAGAAGGCCUUCGGGUUGUAAAGCACUUUUGUCCGGAAAGAAAAGCGCCUGAUUAAUACUCGGGUGUUAUGACGGUACCGGAAGAAUAAGCACCGGCUAACUACGUGCCAGCAGCCGCGGUAAUACGUAGGGCGCAAGCGUUGUCCGGAAUUAUUGGGCGUAAAGAGCUCGUAGGCGGCUUGUCACGUCGGGUGUGAAAGCCCGGGGCUUAACCCCGGGUCUGCAUUCGAUACGGGCUAGCUAGAGUGUGGUAGGGGAGAUCGGAAUUCCUGGUGUAGCGGUGAAAUGCGCAGAUAUCAGGAGGAACACCGGUGGCGAAGGCGGAUCUCUGGGCCAUUACUGACGCUGAGGAGCGAAAGCGUGGGGAACGAACAGGAUUAGAUACCCUGGUAGUCCACGCCCUA
rnacentral:rRNA from 1 species